GAUGAACGCUGGCGGCGUGCCUAAUACAUGCAAGUCGAGCGAACGGACGAGAAGCUUGCUUCUCUGAUGUUAGCGGCGGACGGGUGAGUAACACGUGGAUAACCUACCUAUAAGACUGGGAUAACUUCGGGAAACCGGAGCUAAUACCGGAUGAUAUUUUGAACCGCAUGGUUCAAAAGUGAAACACGGUCUUGCUGUCACUUAUAGAUGGAUCCGCGCUGCAUUAGCUAGUUGGUAAGGUAACGGCUUACCAAGGCAACGAUGCAUAGCCGACCUGAGAGGGUGAUCGGCCACACUGGAACUGAGACACGGUCCAGACUCCUACGGGAGGCAGCAGUAGGGAAUCUUCCGCAAUGGGCGAAAGCCUGACGGAGCAACGCCGCGUGAGUGAUGAAGGUCUUCGGAUCGUAAAACUCUGUUAUUAGGGAAGAACAUAUGUGUAAGUAACUGUGCACAUCUUGACGGUACCUAAUCAGAAAGCCACGGCUAACUACGUG
rnacentral:rRNA from 1 species